GCCCGGAUGGUCUAGUGGUAAGCUUUAUCGAAUCAAAUAUUCCACAACCCUUCAUCGUCUAACAAAUUCAUAGGUAUGAUUCUCGCUUUGGGUGCGAGAGGUCCCGCGUUCGAAUCGCGGUUCGGGCC